GUUUGAUCCUGGCUCAGAGCGAACGCUGGCGGCGUGCUUAACACAUGCAAGUCGAACGAGGUCUGUAGCAAUACAGAUACUCGUGGCGAACGGGUGCGUAACACGUGGAUAACCUUCCUUCAGGUGGGGAAUAACCCAGUGAAAAUUGGGCUAAUACCGCAUAACAUGACGAUGCCACAUGGUGUUGUCUUCAAAGGCGCAAGUCGCCAGAAGAGGGAUCCGCGGCCGAUUAGCUAGUUGGCGAGGUAAUGGCUCACCAAGGCAAUGAUCGGUAGCCGGACUGAGAGGUUGGCCGGCCACACUGGAACUGAGACACGGUCCAGACUCCUACGGGAGGCAGCAGUGGGGAAUCUUGCACAAUGGACGAAAGUCUGAUGCAGCAACGCCGCGUGGGGGAUGAAGCUUUUCGGAGUGUAAA
rnacentral:rRNA from 1 species